CGCAGUCGCGUGCUAUACAUGCAGUCGAGCGGACAGAAGGGAGCUUGCUCCCGGAUGUUAGCGGCGGACGGGUGAGUAACACGUGGGUAACCUGCCUGUAAGACUGGGAUAACUCCGGGAAACCGGAGCUAAUACCGGAUAGUUCCUUGAACCGCAUGGUUCAAGGAUGAAAGACGGUUUCGGCUGUCACUUACAGAUGGACCCGCGGCGCAUUAGCUAGUUGGUGAGGUAACGGCUCACCAAGGCGACGAUGCGUAGCCGACCUGAGAGGGUGAUCGGCCACACUGGGACUGAGACACGGCCCAGACUCCUACGGGAGGCAGCAGUAGGGAAUCUUCCGCAAUGGACGAAAGUCUGACGGAGCAACGCCGCGUGAGUGAUGAAGGUUUUCGGAUCGUAAAGCUCUGUUGUUAGGGAAGAACAAGUGCAAGAGUAACUGCUUGCACCUUGACGGUACCUAACCAGAAAGCCACGGCUAACUACGUGCCAGCAGCCGCGGUAAUACGUAGGUGGCAAGCGUUGUCCGGAAUUAUUGGGCGUAAAGGGCUCGCAGGCGGUUUCUUAAGUCUGAUGUGAAAGCCCCCGGCUCAACCGGGGAGGGUCAUUGGAAACUGGGAAACUUGAGUGCAGAAGAGGAGAGUGGAAUUCCACGUGUAGCGGUGAAAUGCGUAGAGAUGUGGAGGAACACCAGUGGCGAAGGCGACUCUCUGGUCUGUAACUGACGCUGAGGAGCGAAAGCGUGGGGAGCGAACAGGAUUAGAUACCCUGGUAGUCCACGCCGUAAACGAUGAGUGCUAAGUGUUAGGGGGUUUCCGCCCCUUAGUGCUGCAGCUAACGCAUUAAGCACUCCGCCUGGGGAGUACGGUCGCAAGACUGAAACUCAAAGGAAUUGACGGGGGCCCGCACAAGCGGUGGAGCAUGUGGUUUAAUUCGAAGCAACGCGAAGACCUUACCAGGUCUUGACAUCCUCUGACACCCUAGAGAUAGGGCUUUCCCUUCGGGGACAGAGUGACAGGUGCUGCAUGCUGGUCGUCAGCUCGUGUCGUGAGAUGCUGGCUAGUCCGCACCGAGCGCACCCGUGAUCUAGUGCCAGCAUUCAGCUGGGACUCA
rnacentral:rRNA from 1 species